GAAAGUUUGGCGGAAAAUUUAUAUCGCGCUUGGUCGCUUUACUGUUCUGUAUCCUUCCGCCGCCGUGGCGAAAGCAAUUGUCGGUUUCUUUGGAGGUCAUGUCACGCGUGACAGUCUCCUAAAUUGGCUUGUACCUGACAGAGAUAGAGCUGCAUAUCACACUCAUUAAUGAUCCAGCAAUCUAGUCGAUAAGAAGAGGCUCGGCUCCAAAAAGGGCAUGUUGAUCUCAAAUACCCAUCUGGCUGUGAUGAUGUUUGGUCUGUAUGGAGAUUUUCCAGAAUGGACAGCAAAAGAGUUCUUGACAUUUAUUAUGAAAUGAUGAGUAUUCUUUUGGAUCUACUGCAAUAGACUGAGUUGACUCCGCCCGCAAGAGAAUAUACUCCUUGCCAUCUUGUACUGUGUAAACUUCAACAUAAUGAUAGAACAGCAAAUAUCAGGACAGUUAAAGCAUGACGAACAUGAUAUGAAUUAUAACAAAACAUUGUAUACACUGUAACACUACGAUGCAUGCGACGGUGCACGUACACAUACAAACAGAAGACAGUGUCACAGACAGCACACACAUUUGCAAAGCUGAUACUGACAUCUGCUGGCAAAGCCAUAGAUUUAGUAGUUUACUGUGUUUUUGUUCAGGAAAGGUUCAGCUUAAAUAUUAAAGUUCUAAUUUUCUCACAUUGUUUAUUUAUGUUGUAUCAAACCCAAAAGCUUACUUCUGUGGAACACAUUUUUUAUGAGAAAGCCUAGGCCUGUAUGUAAGUGAAUGUGAAACAAAUCUUCCAAAAUUUGUGUUCUAGUAAUAGAACGUGGGUUUGCAGCAACAUGGGCGUAAAUAUAAAAAUACCAAAUUUUAGGGUGAAGUGUAUAAAUAAAAAAUGUAAAAGACGUAAGUGGGUCAUGUUUUAAAAAUGACACAUACAGCACUUACUAAAGAACAGUAUUUUUUAAUACUUUUAUAUGCUCUACUAAAACUAAAAACUUUCUUUACAGCCAGGGACUGUCAGAUUUCUGUAGAAAA